AAGGUCGGGCAGGUUCGCUCAUCUGACACCGUAUCCCGUCCGCUCUCCGUUAGUCAAACUGGCAAGGGGCAGAUUAGUAGUUGGGUCGGUGACGACCAGCGAACACCGGCUGCUGUAUGUU
rnacentral:rRNA from 1 species